UUUGUUUUUCAGAACCAAGGAAAUUUUUUUGAGCUAUUGACAUCUUUUAACAAGUUACUAUACUCCUAUGAACAAAAUUUGGAACAUAUUUGUUUCUCUCUACCUGAUUUCUCCAGAAUUUGGAAACUACUUGAAUCAAACUGGACUUAUAGAGCAAAUAAAAGCCCCUUGGGAAAACUGGCCUCAUACCUUGUCUACACAGUUCCUGUACAGGGUUCCUGACCAGUGGAAGAAAAGAGAAGAUUAGAAUGUCCUUUUGCUUCUGCUGUUUAUCAAGUGCCUUUAUAUGAAAAAAAUCCUUAUAUCAAAGAGGAAUCCUAAGCCACCUUAAGGCAAAGGAAUGACUUCCAUGGAAUACAGAUGAAGUUGGUAAAAGGAAAUACAAAGGAGAAAAAGUGUCCUAUUCAGUCUUGAAUAUACAUCAUCACAACUAUCUACAGCUAGAGGACUACAAAUACUAUAGGAUGAUGAGGUGACAAUAUUAUUGGUUACCUUGUCACCAGUUACAUC